rfam:Aeromonas schubertii strain ATCC 43700 Scaffold6, whole genome shotgun sequence.
GAAGGCACGACAUUGCUCACAUUGCUUCCAGAUUCGGCCAGCUUCAUGCUGGCCCUUUUUU